GCAGCGUACACAUGCAGUCGAGCGGAUGAAGGGAGCUUGCUCCUGGAUUCAGCGGCGGACGGGUGAGUAAUGCCUAGGAAUCUGCCUGGUAGUGGGGGAUAACGUCCGGAAACGGGCGCUAAUACCGCAUACGUCCUGAGGGAGAAAGUGGGGGAUCUUCGGACCUCACGCUAUCAGAUGAGCCUAGGUCGGAUUAGCUAGUUGGUGGGGUAAAGGCCUACCAAGGCGACGAUCCGUAACUGGUCUGAGAGGAUGAUCAGUCACACUGGAACUGAGACACGGUCCAGACUCCUACGGGAGGCAGCAGUGGGGAAUAUUGGACAAUGGGCGAAAGCCUGAUCCAGCCAUGCCGCGUGUGUGAAGAAGGUCUUCGGAUUGUAAAGCACUUUAAGUUGGGAGGAAGGGCAGUAAGUUAAUACCUUGCUGUUUUGACGUUACCAACAGAAUAAGCACCGGCUAACUUCGUGCCAGCAGCCGCGGUAAUACGAAGGGUGCAAGCGUUAAUCGGAAUUACUGGGCGUAAAGCGCGCGUAGGUGGUUCAGCAAGUUGGAUGUGAAAUCCCCGGGCUCAACCUAGGAACUGCAUCCAAAACUACUGAGCUAGAGUACGGUAGAGGGUGGUGGAAUUUCCUGUGUAGCGGUGAAAAUGCGUAGAUAUAGGAAAGGAACACCAGUGGCGAAGGCGACCACCUGGACUGAUACUGACACUGAUGUGCGAAAGCGUGGGGGAGCAAACA
rnacentral:rRNA from 1 species